rnacentral:lncRNA from 1 species
AUAAAAAGAAAAGCCUAAUCACAUGAGUAUAGAGAGUAAUGGGAAUAAGAGACAGACAUCAUACUUAUGCAUUUUUAAACUCUCAAUUUUAUUCAUUUUGUGGAAAUUACAUCUUAACUAAUAUCUACUCAAUGCUCAGAAUAGCCUGAAGAUAAAAACAAAGUAUUUGGAAUAAAGGCCACUCUGGGCAACCCAGCUGGUGUGAGUGAGUUGAAUUACUAAAAUCUCCAGUGCCAUGAUCCUCAAGGCCUAAUUAACUUCUGUGAGAAAUGAAUAUUUCCUGGGGAUUUACUGUCUUGACAUAAUUCAAGCCCUCAUAGCUAUUAACAAUGAGUGAUCUCAAAUGGAGCAAUGGAUUACAGGGCCACAGUAUCAGUUUUUAAUGUGCAAUACAAUUAAUUUAGGGGUCAUAUACUUGUUGAAUGAAACUACUGGGUGAAGUGUAAUUAGUUGUAAUGUUUAGGCUUACAUAUUUUAUUUGCUUUGGAUUUUCACAUGUUUCCUGUGCAUGAGUGCCAUUACUGUUUUCUUUCUUUCUUAUACUUCUUCAGUGAAGACGCUAGUUUUGCAGUCAUAUUUUUAAGGAAGAUACCUGGGACAUGAUACAUAUUAAUAGACAUUUUAUUUAUGAAUAUUUCUAGUUUUUAGAGACUUUUUAAAAUUGGAAUAAUAUAUCUUAUGCCAGGAAAUGUUAGCCAGUAGAUUUGGAUAUUUGUGUCAGUUCUAUACAGUUACUGCUCCCUGAGAUUGAAUAUAUCUACCUAGAAUCUGUACAUUAUUCUGGCUCUCUUUAGUAACACCUGAUGCCUCUCAGGCUCCAGAAAAGAAUUCCAACUGUAUUUCCGAAGUACACACUAUUUUAUGUACUGAACCUAAAGAUAAUUUGAUCACCAGGGAUAACAUACAACUCACAGCAAUCUUUUCUUUCUCUUUUUUUUUUUUCUAGCUGCCAAGAAACUCACACUAAAUUUGAACUUUGAUCCUUACAAAUAUAUUGACCCUAUCAUUGAAGUUUGGAGUAGAAAGUUUUUGAGUUGGAAAUGCUCACUUAAUAAAGAAGGACACUAGGAUACAAAAUUAAGUAACCUGACAUACCACAGAUACUUGGUGGUAGUUACAUUAAAUUAUAUUAAAGAAAUACAGUAUGAUGUUGGAUAAGGAUCCUAUGAAAACAAUUUAACCAAUGGAAAGCAUUUCCUUAUAAUUUUUCUAGUUAUAUAGUCUUGAGAUCAGCAAAGAAGAUAGUCCACUACAAAUAUAAUUUUCAAAAUUUUACUGGUCUUUUUCAUAGUUUUGUUUUCUAUAAGACUUAUAGGCUGAUUACUUUCUUUUAAUAACUAACAUCUUAAUUAAACCUACAUAGAACCUAAUUCUAAGAGUGAUAAGAAAAAUUCUGGUACUAAAAUUAGUUAUGAAACAUAGCAAGAACUUUUAUACCAAGUUUUAUUUAACUUUGAUGGUUAAUCAUGGAAAUGAUGGUUAAUAUUUGAAACAUGGCAACUUAAAUAUCAAAAUGCAUCAAAGGCCUCAAACUUUUAAUUAUGCUUUAUCCUUCAAUAUUUAUUUGUCAAUACUCCAAGUAAGCAAACACAGGUAUAAUUUUUAACA